AAAUUGAAGAGUUUGAUCAUGGCUCAGAUUGAACGCUGGCGGCAGGCCUAACACAUGCAAGUCGAACGGUAACAGGAAGCAGCUUGCUGCUUCGCUGACGAGUGGCGGACGGGUGAGUAAUGUCUGGGAAACUGCCUGAUGGAGGGGGAUAACUACUGGAAACGGUAGCUAAUACCGCAUAAUGUCGCAAGACCAAAGAGGGGGACCUUCGGGCCUCUUGCCAUCGGAUGUGCCCAGAUGGGAUUAGCUAGUAGGUGGGGUAACGGCUCACCUAGGCGACGAUCCCUAGCUGGUCUGAGAGGAUGACCAGCCACACUGGAACUGAGACACGGUCCAGACUCCUACGGGAG
rnacentral:rRNA from 1 species